AUCCAUCUGACGAGUUCCACGUAGGACGAAACGCGCAUAUUGGAU
rnacentral:hammerhead_ribozyme from 1 species